rnacentral:rRNA from 1 species
GCCGGGCAGCUCACCGGAUAAGACAGCUGGAUGAUAGCCGGGCUGAAGACUCUGCUUGACUAGCUGAGAGAGGUGCAUGGCCGUCGUCAGUUCGUACUGUGAAGCAUCCUGUUAAGUCAGGCAACGAGCGAGACCCACGCCAACAGUUGCCAGCAUGUCCUCCGGGAUGAUGGGGACACUGUUGGGACGCCUCUGCUAAAGAGGAGGAAGGAAUGGGCAACGGUAGGUCAGCAUGCCCCGAAUUAUCCGGGCUACACGCGGGCUACAAUGGUCAGGACAAUGGGUAUCGACACCGAGAGGUGGAGGCAAUCUCCUAAACCUGUCCUUAGUUCGGAUUGUGGGCUGCAACUCGCCCACAUGAAGCUGGAAUCCGUAGUAAUCGCGUUUCAAAAUAGCGCGGUGAAUAUCGUCCCUGCUCCUU